GAUUCAGACCCUGGUCUCCAGAGUUAUAGGCCAAUGUUCAGACCACUACUCCAUACUGGUUGUAGCUGAGAGAUAGCUACAGUAAAUAUUGGGCUAAUAAAGUAGUUUUAAACUGAGUCAGAGCAUUAGUUCAUUCACUCAAUUCUGCCUGAUAGCAGAUGUCCAAAUUUAGGUUUUUAUGGCUCCUUAACAUUUAUCCUGGUCACAGUUUGCUCUUUUGCUUCAUUUUAACUGAAAUCAAUCAAUAACUGUUUUCAUUUUGAUUUAGAUCUGGGCAUUUGACCUUUAUGAUGCAGGGCUUAAGAUUCCUUUCAACAUAUGCAUUAUAGAUGGAUUAAGUGCAUUACAAUUAACUGCAGAAGUUAUUAAUAGCUCCAUGCAAUGUUCUCCGCAACAGGAGUCCUCAACAGGAAGAGGUUGAGGAGCCAGAUUAAGUGAGACAAACAGCUACUUGGCAACUAAUAGUUGAGGGUGACACUAGUGGAAGAUCACACUAAGAAAAUGGCAGUGGCACUUCAGAUGUCUCUUGUUAGAACUGCAGAGAAGGAAGCAAUGCAAAGACCACCAGCACUGAAGCAAUGAUCCUCCGCCAUCAAUUUCACUGGACCAGUUCAUGUUGUCUGAAUGCCUAAUCACCAUCUCCCAAGUCAGCUACUUUACUCUCAACUCAAGAACGGCUCAAGUAUCUGAAAACAUGUACCUUCUUUUAAAAAACAACAACAACCAUUAAAAUUCAAUCAGGGAGAGAA